AGCGCCAGAAGCUUGGCGAUGUAGGGGAUCAGCGGCAGGUUCAGGAUCAGGAGGACGAUGUUGCCCAGGUACAUGGACACGAUGACCGACCAGAACACGUCCGGCGCUUCCUGGAACAGGCGCGGCCC
rnacentral:ncRNA from 1 species